rnacentral:rRNA from 1 species
GACGAACGCUGGCGGCGUGCUUAACACAUGCAAGUCGAACGGAAAGGCCCUGCUUUUGUGGGGUGCUCGAGUGGCGAACGGGUGAGUAACACGUGAGUAACCUGCCCUUGACUUUGGGAUAACUUCAGGAAACUGGGGCUAAUACCGGAUAGGAGCUCCUGCUGCAUGGUGGGGGUUGGAAAGUUUCGGCGGUUGGGGAUGGACUCGCGGCUUAUCAGCUUGUUGGUGGGGUAGUGGAUUACCAAGGCUUUGACGGGUAGCCGGCCUGAGAGGGUGACCGGCAACAUUGGGACAGGGAUACGACCCAGACUCCUACGGGAGGAAACAGUGGGGAAUAUUGCACAAUGGGCGGAAGCCUGGAGCAGCAACGCCGCGUGCGGGAUGACGGCCUUCGGGUUGUAAAACGCUUUCGCCUGUGACGAAGCGUGAGUGACGGUAAUGGGUAAAGAAGCACCGGCUAAUUAGGU